rnacentral:rRNA from 1 species
AAGUCGAACGGCAGCACGGAGCUUGCUCUGGUGGCGAGUGGCGAACGGGUGAGUAAUAUAUCGGAACGUACCCUGGAGUGGGGGAUAACGGAGCGAAAGUUACGCUAAUACCGCAUACGAUCUAAGGAUGAAAGUGGGGGAUCGCAAGACCUCAUGCUCGUGGAGCGGCCGAUAUCUGAUUAGCUAGUUGGUAGGGUAAAAGCCUACCAAGGCAUCGAUCAGUAGCUGGUCUGAGAGGACGACCAGCCACACUGGAACUGAGACACGGUCCAGACUCCUACGGGAGGCAGCAGUGGGGAAUUUUGGACAAUGGGCGCAAGCCUGAUCCAGCAAUGCCGCGUGAGUGAAGAAGGCCUUCGGGUUGUAAAGCUCUUUUGUCAGGGAAGAAACGGUGGGAGCUAAUAUCUCCUGCUAAUGACGGUACCUGAAGAAUAAGCACCGGCUAACUACGUGCCAGCAGCCGCGGUAAUACGUAGGGUGCAAGCGUUAAUCGGAAUUACUGGGCGUAAAGCGUGCGCAGGCGGUUUUGUAAGUCUGAUGUGAAAUCCCCGGGCUCAACCUGGGAAUUGCAUUGGAGACUGCAAGGCUAGAAUCUGGCAGAGGGGGGUAGAAUUCCACGUGUAGCAGUGAAAUGCGUAGAUAUGUGGAGGAACACCGAUGGCGAAGGCAGCCCCCCUGGGUCAAGAUUGACGCUCAUGCACG